rnacentral:rRNA from 1 species
GGUCAAGUUAUUAAGGGUUUACGGUGGAUGCCUUGGGACCAAGAGCCGAAGAAGGGCGUGGUAAGACUACGAUAAGCCUCGAUCAGCUGUCUAACAAGCUUAGUCGAGGGUUCCCGAAUGGGGAAACCCGUUCUGGGUUAUACCAGAACAUUCCGCAAGGAAAGGUAAGUGUGUGAACUGAAACAUCUAAGUAACAUGAGGAAAAGAAAUUAAAGAGAUUCCCUUAGUAGUGGCGAACGAAAUGGGAAUAGCCCAAACCGGUAGGGCUUAGUGGGUUGAGGCCCUAUGUCCUUCCGGGGUUGUAACGCAUUCUAGUUUUCUCCUCAAAGAAAACAAGGAGUUACAAAAUCUUUUUUUAAUCGAACGUACCUGGAAAGGUCGAUCAUAGAAGGUGAUAAUCCUGUAGAUGAAAAGAAAAGAUCUCCUAGAGUGUUGUUGAGUACCACGGGACACGAGAAAUCUUGUGGGAACCUGGGGAGA